rnacentral:rRNA from 1 species
AUUGAACGCUGGCGGCAUGCCUAACACAUGCAAGUCGAACGGGGUGUAGCAAUACAUCUAGUGGCGGACGGGUGAGGAAUACAUAGGAAUUUGCCCUUAAGUGGGGGAGUAGUCCGGGGAAACGUACGGUUUAAUUACCGCAUGAUCUCGUGAGAGCAAAGACAGGGGACCGGCAAGGCCUUGCGCUUUUGGUAGAAGCCUAUGUCGGAUUAGCUAGUUGGUAGGGUAAUGGCCUACCAAGGCAACGAUCCGUAACUGGUCUGAGAGGAUGAUCAGUCACACCGGAACU